AAGUCGUAACAAGGUUUCCGUAGGUGAACCUGCGGAAGGAUCAUUACUACGUAUCCAACGUAUAAACCAAACGUGAACUGUAUCCGCUCAGCGAUAAAGUCAAUGGCUCAUCACGACUAUGCCUCCGUGUUAGUGAUAGCAGGGGAAACUCUGCUAGGAGGUUUGUGAUGUGGUCGCCACAGAGCCUUUCUGCUCUGAGGGGCUUUGAAAUCUCUGAGGCCGGUAUUUCAAUCACUAACAUUUACAAUCAUUAACCCAUUGAACUAAUUAUUGAACUAAUCAUGUUUCCAGCCUUUGUGGACCCUUCGGGGCUCACUGGCUUGAAAUUAUUUACGUAACUUGAACAACUCUUAGCAACGGAUAUCUUGGCUCUCGCAUCGAUGAAGCAGC
rnacentral:misc_RNA from 1 species